GACGGAGGAGGCCCUUUCGCAGUUGGGCUGCAGGAUCCUGCCGCCUCUAGAGGCCGCUGGGCAUCCCCACCACCACCAUAAUUAUGAUUAUUAUUUCGCUUUAUCUCACUCAAGGCAACCCAAAGUUACUUACAAGCAGCCAUUUACAGGAAGACAAGAUCCCAGCUGCUCCAAAGGGCCCUUAUGUGGAAACAAUCGCUGUAUCAGAGCCUCACGGACAUCGCAGGACUGUUUAGAGGCUAAACUAGUGCCUCGUUCAUUCAUUUGUUCAUUCAUUCAACCAUUCAUUCAUUCAUCCAAUCAAUCAAUCAAUCAAUCAAUCACAUCUAUUUAUUUUUAAUGUCCAAUUUCAAUAUUAUAUUUUGAGGUCAAAUCUCUUCUUCAAAGUAGUGAAUUCUAAAAAAAAAAUGCAGAAUUUCCAAAUUUUGCAACAUGUAAUUUUGCUCAUGAAAGUUGAGGCUUUAAUGAUCACAAUUAUUAUUUAGAUUAUUUCUUCAUAAAAUUAUAUCCUUGUCGCAGCCAGGAUAACAUGCAGGUGGAUGAGAGCUGGUAGUAGCAGAGGGAUAUUCUGCUGAUAUUUUCAUUUGUUUUAGGAGGGGAAAAGCAGCUCCAAUAUCUCCAUGUCUGUCAAAUCAAGGUCCACUGCAUUCAUUAAUCCACAUCUCGUCACGAACAAGAGGCUUUCAAUUGUACUAUUACUCUUUAACUACUGUUCUUUCAGUUUCCUGUUGGAAGUAGCCAAACCGUUCAUCCAUCUUUGUCAAUGUGCGUCAAAGCCACAGGUCACUCCAGUGUUCUGAAGCGGAUCUUUGGCAGGGAAACCUCUGAAGAAUAUUUUCCGAAGCUAAUAUGUUAGACAGUGGAGUAAACCAGAGGUUCUCAGCAGAAUAAUUGAAACAAGGCUAAUGAGCCUUCAGUGGAACAGAGGGCUACAAAUGCAGUUUCUUCGCAAAUACAACACAUGGCCCAUAAGGCCCUAUCAAAAAUAAAGUAUAUAAAAAUAAGAUGCUAAAGAUGAUUUGAAGAUUUUGGACUUAAGGGGACACUUCUGCAAGUGGAACCACUUGGUCUGAAAACAACAGGUUGGAUAAAAACCAAUGAUUUUU